UAAGGAUCUUAAAAGCCAUGCUUUAAAGCACAACAUUUCUGUUUAUUUUAAUACAAUAAAUAUUUAAUGUUAAACAAGUUCUAAUUUUCAGUCCGUCUGAACGCAGUGCUUCGCUAUUAGAAACACUUUCUUUACCAUCUUUAUUGUGUUUUAACAUGUUGUCUUUUGUCAUGUGUUAUUAGGCAUGUUCGACUUCAUGAAGCGCUGCGAGAACCCACAUCAUAUGUUGAUGACGUAAACGUAUCGCGAGACUGAGUCAAGAAAUUACACGUAGAGGUCUAAUUUCGAACCGCUCUCGCGGUACAUUGACGUCAUCAUCAUGUCAGCGCCGCAUGAGGUCGAAGACACCUAUUAUUUGCGGGCACGCGCCUCCGUCCUCGUGAGUUCAAAAACUGAAUUUAACCGAUGUUUACCUCAGACGACAGUUUUCGUUUCUGUGAUAAAUUCUGAGCUAAUUUUCUUGUUGUGUUUGAUAUUUUCCAUUGGCUGAAGAAUGCUGUGACAAAAAAGCAACCAGGACACCACAUCUGCAGUGACAGAGAGCAGGAUGGGGGAGGAAUCAGAAGGACCAGAAGAUAAUAUCAACUGGUGCCCCUGAGGAGAUUCACAUUGUUCUGUUUCUUUUGUUUAGUAAUAAGUGGUUUUAUGUGAUUUUGUAAAAUAAAAGAAAUUCAGUAUUCAA